UACAGAGGGGGCGAGCGUUGUUCGGAAUUACUGGGCGUAAAGGGCGCGUAGGCGGCCCGCUAAGUCGAACGUGAAAUCCCCAGGCUCAACCUGGGAACUGCGUCCGAUACUGGCAGGCUUGAAUCCGGGAGAGGGAUGUGGAAUUCCAGGUGUAGCGGUGAAAUGCGCAGAUAUCUGGAGGAACACCGGUGGCGAAGGCGGCAUCCUGGACCGGUAUUGACGCUGAGGCGCGAAAGCUAGGGGAGCAAACGGG
rnacentral:rRNA from 1 species